rfam:Triticum aestivum genome assembly, contig: Triticum_aestivum_CS42_TGACv1_scaffold_112153_2AS
CAAGUACUCCCUCCAUCCGGAAUUACUUGUCAUCAAAAUGGAUGUGUCUAGAACUAAAAUACAUCUAGAUACAUCCAUUUCAAUGACAAGUAUUUUUGGACGGAGGGAGUACAAG